CAGCUCACAGCAACGCCAAAUCCUUAACCUACUGAGCAGGGCCAAGGAUCAAACCUGCAUCCUACUGGAUACUAGUCAGGUUCAUUACCACUAAGCCCCAACAGGAACUCCUGCCCAAAGUCUUCUUACCUCUAAAUUGAUUCCACAUUUCUCUGCAAGCAGAUUAACCUCCUAUGAGAUCCUUCUGCCUUCACACCUAACUCUACAUCUCAAAUGCUGCAGUGUACUCAGUCCUGCUACAGCACUACUCUUGCCUGACAAAGAUGAGCCCAUGACUGAAUGGUUAAAGAAGGCUUCCCAGAUCCCAAUUCAAAGGAUCCUGUUUGGGCACAAUCUGGAGCCCGGUGACUGGGUAUUACAGAAACAUCAUCAGAGGAAAAUAGCCCUCAAGCCCCAUUGGAAGGGAUCUUACCAACUGCUCCUGACCAUGGACACUUGCAGCGAAACUAGAAGGCACUGAGCCUUGGGUACACAUCUCAACAGCUAAGGAAGGCUCCACGGGACAUUUAGUCUUGCACAGAUGCUGGGGACCUCUGAAUCAAACUGAUGAGGAAGAGAAACAGCUGCCAUCAAAGUGGACUGCUUCUGUCCCAGACACUGGAUCAAGACCAUACUUUAACUAAACAUGAAAGCUUUU